rnacentral:rRNA from 1 species
GGGCGUAAAGGGAGCGCAGGUGGUUUCUUAAGUCUGAUGUGAAAGCCACGGCUCAACCGUGGAGGGUCAUUGGAAACUGGGGAACUUGAGUACAGAAGAGGAAUGUGGAACUCCAUGUGUAGCGGUGGAAUGCGUAGAUAUAUGGAAGAACACCAGUGGCGAAGGCGACAUUCUGGGCUGUUACUGGCACUGAGGCUCGAAAGCGUGGGGAGCAAACAGGAUUAGAUACCCUGGUAGUCCACGCCGUAAACGAUGAGUGCUAGGUGUUAGGCCCUUUCCGGGGCUUAGUGCCGCAGCUAACGCAUUAAGCACUCCGCCUGGGGAGUACGACCGCAAGGUUGGAACUCAAGGGAAUUGACGGGGGCCCGCACAAGCGGUGGAGCAUGUGGUUUAAUUCGAAGCAACGCGAAGAACCUUACCUAGACUUGACAUCUCCUGCAUCACCCUUAAUCGGGGAAGUUCCUUCGGGAACAGAAUGACAGGUGGUGCAUGGUUGUCGUCAGCUCGUGUCGUGAGAUGUUGGGUUAAGUCCCGCAACGAGCGCAACCCUCGAUGCCAGUUGCCAACGGGUAAAGCCGGGCACUCUGGCGUGACUGCCGGUGACAAACCGGAGGAAGGUGGGGAUGACGUCAAGUCAUCAUGCCCCUUAUGCCUUGGGCUACACACGUGCUACAAUGGCCGGGACAGUAGGCUGCAAAACCGCGAGGUGGAGCCAAUCCUCAAACCCGGUCUCAGUUCAGAUAGCAGGCUGCAACUCGCCUGCUUGAAGGCGGAAUC